AACGAACGCUGGCGGCAGGCCUAACACAUGCAAGUCGAACGCCGUAGCAAUACGGAGUGGCAGACGGGUGAGUAACGCGUGGGAACCUUCCCUAUGGUUCGGAAUAGCUCAGGGAAACCUGGGGUAAUACCGGAUAAGCCCUUCGGGAGAAAGAUUUAUCGCCAUUGGAUGGGCCCGCGUCGGAUUAGCUAGCUGGUGAGGUAACGGCUCACCAAGGCGACGAUCCGUAGCUGGUCUGAGAGGAUGAUCAGCCACACUGGGACUGAGACACGGCCCAGACUCCUACGGGAGGCAGCAGUGGGGAAUAUUGGACAAUGGGCGAAAGCCUGAUCCAGCCAUGCCGCGUGAGUGACGAAGGCCUUAGGGUUGUAAAGCUCUUUUGGCGGGGAAGAUAAUGACGGUACCCGCAGAAUAAGCUCCGGCUAACUUCGUGCCAGCCGCCGCCGUAAAAC
rnacentral:rRNA from 1 species